rnacentral:rRNA from 1 species
AUUGAACGCUGGCGGCAUGCCUUACACAUGCAAGUCGAACGGUAACAGGUCUUCGGAUGCUGACGAGUGGCGAACGGGUGAGUAAUACAUCGGAACGUGCCCGAGAGUGGGGGAUAACGAGGCGAAAGCUUUGCUAAUACCGCAUACGAUCUCAGGAUGAAAGCAGGGGACCGCAAGGCCUUGCGCCCACGGAGCGGCCGAUGGCAGAUUAGGUAGUUGGUGGGAUAAAAGCUUACCAAGCCGACGAUCUGUAGCUGGUCUGAGAGGACGACCAGCCACACUGGGACUGAGACACGGCCCAGACUCCUACGGGAGGCAGCAGUGGGGAAUUUUGGACAAUGGGCGCAAGCCUGAUCCAGCCAUGCCGCGUGCAGGAUGAAGGCCUUCGGGUUGUAAACUGCUUUUGCACGGAACGAAAAGACUCCUUCUAAUAAAGGGGGUCCAUGACGGUACCGUAAGAAUAAGCACCGGCUAACUACGUGCCAGCCGCCGCAGUAACAC